UACAGAGGUCCCAAGCGUUGUUCGGAUUUACUGGGCGUAAAGGGUGCGUAGGCGGCUCGAUAAGUCUAACGUGAAAUCUUCAAGCUUAACUUGAAAACUGCGAUGGAAACUGUCGGGCUUGAGGUUUUGAGGGGAAGUCGGAAUUCUCGGUGUAGCAGUGAAAUGCGUAGAUAUCGAGAGGAACACCAGUGGCGAAAGCGGGCUUCUAGAAAAAACCUGACGCUAAGGCACGAAAGCUAGGGGAGCAAACGGG
rnacentral:rRNA from 1 species